CGGGGGGAGCAAGCGUUGUUCGGAUUUACUGGGCGUAAAGGGCGCGUAGGCGGCCGCCGCAAGUCAGUUGUGAAAUCUCCGAGCUUAACUCGGAAAGGUCAACUGAUACUGCGGGGCUAGAGUGCGGAAGGGGCAACUGGAAUUCUUGGUGUAGCGGUGAAAUGCGUAGAUAUCAAGAGGAACACCUGCGGCGAAGGCGGGUUGCUGGGCCGACACUGACGCUGAGGCGCGAAAGCUAGGGGAGCGAACGGGAUUAGAUACCCCGGUAGUCCUAGCCUUAAACGAUGAAUGCUUGGUGUCUGGGGUUAUAUAGUCCCCGGGUGCCGUCGCUAACGCUUUAAGCAUUCCGCCUGGGGAGUACGGUCGCAAGACCG
rnacentral:rRNA from 1 species